rnacentral:sRNA from 1 species
UGUUCCCUCAUUCCCCUCUCCCUCCUUCCUUCCUUUCUGCCUUCUUCCGUUUCUCCUUCCUUUCCUCCCAUGAUGCAUUUGUCCUACUUCCCUGACUCUCCCCUUCUCUUCUGUUCUCCUCACCCAGUUCAAAUACAUGUCAUGCAGCUGUAGUGGCCCCUCUAGGUUCUGAACUUAUGGGUCCAGUGAGGGUUCCUUGGAUUGGGAUUGUUUUGUGACAGUUCAUGGCUCUGGUGGAUGAGCUACACACACACACACACACACACACACACACACACACACACACACACACAUCUCACACAUGUACAUAACACACACACCUCACAAAUAUUGGACCCAGGCCCGUACUAGAAGCAGCUUUUGUUUGCUUGCUUGUUGGUCUGUAUUUUGUUUUGUUUUUAAAAUAAAUUUCAUUACUCACUUCUGCACCUGGGGAAAGAUUUAAUGUCUGGCUCUGCUCAGAAACUGCUAAUCUUUGGCUUCGGUGCCUGCUUCUGACCUGGAUCGCCAGGCGGCAGCCAUCGUUAGGCUGCUGAUGUAUCCACCUACUCUGAGUUUCCAGGGGCUUUUACAGGAAAACGCUACAGAGCACUUCCGGGGGUGGGGCGGGGCGGGGCGGGGCGGGGCCUGGUCAGCUCCUUACCUCUGUGAUGAAAUUCGUAAGGUGAUUUGCAUAUAAGGAUAAUUCUCGGGGGUUCGUUGAUCCAGUCAGUUGAUCUAACUGCCUUUGAGCCUGUACGGAGCCUGAGGUGGGGCUGCUCACCGCAUGACAGCGGGAAGCAAAGAGAGGGAUGCACACCGCUGACUCAAGCUAAGAUGCUGCUCACAUCUGUCAGCACUAAGUGAACAGCAGCCACUCUCUCAGCAUCGCUUGCCUACUUCCUGCUGUGAGGUCAAAGGCACAAAUUAACAGCGCGCACGCACGUCCUUAGCAUCCAAGUCCACAUCCCGGCCCUCUGGCUGUCCUUAUGAGCAAGAUCGUUUUGCCAUUUUGGAAUGUGACUCUGUGUCGCUGAGAUGCUCCUACCAAGCCUCUCGUUUCUGAUUUUCCACGGCCUUAAAGCCGCCAUCUGGUGCAAGGCUGGGAAGGACACUGGGAGAUCCCUGUGCAGCCUCUGGCCUCAGGCCUGCCCCCCAGGGCCGAGAGAAACAAUUUCAUCUCAGUCAGAGCUUUCCUCCCAUCUUCGGAGGCUUGGCCUUUUGCAUAGGUCUGGCUCUCCCUCCAGGGAGUCUAUUCCGUGCUGAUGGACGGUCACCGCUGGAACACUCUGAAAGGUUUGAACUAUCGAAAAGAUUUUGUGUUUCAGACCAACCUUGCUUUGUAAAUCAUCCUGGUAUCUCCAGUCUAAAUACCAACAGUGGGGACAGCUUGUGAUUAACCUCUCCCCUCCAAGAAGCAACCAGCAACAAUGAUUCUUCCUUCAAGAACAAUGUAACCAGUUUUUAAUAAAGCCAAAAGAUUCCUGCCCAGA